CCUACGGGAGGCUGCAGUGAGGAAUCUUGGUCAAUGGGCGAGAGCCUGAACCAGCCAAGUCGCGUGAGGGAAGACGGUCCUAUGGUUUGUAAACUUCUUUUGUCGGGGAGCAAAAGGCCCUACGCGUGGCGUUCCGAGAGUACCCGAUGAAACAGCAUCGGCUAACUCCGUGCCAUCAGCCGCGGUAAUACGGAGGAUACGAGCGUUAUCCGGUUGUAUUGGGUUUAAAGGGUACGCAGGCGGAAGAUAAGGUUAGGGGUAAAAGUGAGGGGUGCAACCUCUUCGGGCCGUUGAAACUGGUUUUCUUGAGUGAGUGAGAAGUAUGCGGAAUGCGUGGUGUAGCGGUGAAAUGCGUAGAUAUAACGAAGAACUCCGAUUGCGAAGGCAGCAUACCGGCGCUCAACUGACGCUCAUGCACGAAAGUGUGGGUAUCGAACAGGAUUAGAUACCCCUGUAGUC
rnacentral:rRNA from 1 species